rnacentral:rRNA from 1 species
GACGAACGCUGGCGGCGUGCUUAACACAUGCAAGUCGAACGGAAAGGCCCUGCUUUUGUGGUGUGCUCGAUUGGCGAACGGGUGAGUAACACUUGUGUAACCUGCCCUUUACUUUGUGAUAACUUCAGGAAACUGGGGCUAAUACCUGAUAGGAUCUCCUGCUGCAUUGUGUGGGUUGGUAAUUUUCGGCGGUUGGGGUUGGACUCGCUGCUUAUCAGCUUGUUUGUGGGGUAGUGGCUUACCAAGGAUUUGACGGGUAGCCGGCAUGUGAGGGUGACCGGGGAAAAUGGGACGGAGAUACGGAACAGAAUGCAACGGGAGGCAGGAGAGGGGAAUAGAGCAGAAGGGGAGGAAGGCAGAUGAAGAAAAGCAGCGAGCGGGAUGAAGGGCUUGGGGUUGUAAACAGAAGUAGAAUGAGAAGAAGAGUGAGUGACGGUAAUGGGUAAAGAAGCAACGGCUAACUACGUG